rnacentral:rRNA from 1 species
AUUGAACGCUGGCGGCAGGCCUAACACAUGCAAGUCGAGCGGAUGAAGGGAGCUUGCUCCUGGAUUCAGCGGCGGACGGGUGAGUAAUGCCUAGGAAUCUGCCUGGUAGUGGGGGAUAACGUCCGGAAACGGGCGCUAAUACCGCAUACGUCCUGAGGGAGAAAGUGGGGGAUCUUCGGACCUCACGCUAUCAGAUGAGCCUAGGUCGGAUUAGCUAGUUGGUGGGGUAAAGGCCUACCAAGGCGACGAUCCGUAACUGGUCUGUGAGGAUGAUCAGUCACACUGGAACUGAGACACGCUCCAGACUCCUACGGGAGGGCGCAGUAGGGAAUAUUGGGCAAUGGGCGAAAGCCUGAUCCAGCCAUGCCGCGUGUGUGAAGAAGGUCUUCCGAUUGUAAAGCACUCUAAGUUGGGAGGAAGAGCUGUAAGUUAAUACCUUGCUGUUUUGACGUUACCGACAGAAUAAGCACCGGCUAACUUCGUG